AGCGAACGCUGGCGGCAGGCUUAACACAUGCAAGUCGAGCGGGUCCUUCGGGGUCAGCGGCGGACGGGUGAGUAACGCGUGGGAACGUGCCUUCUGGUUCGGAAUAACCCUGGGAAACUAGGGCUAAUACCGGAUACGCCCUUUUGGGGAAAGGUUUACUGCCGGAAGAUCGGCCCGCGUCUGAUUAGCUAGUUGGUGGGGUAACGGCCUACCAAGGCAACGAUCAGUAUCCGGCCUGAGAGGGCGGACGGACACACUGGGACUGAGACACGGCCCAGACUCCUACGGGAGGCAGCAGUGGGGAAUAUUGGACAAUGGGCGCAAGCCUGAUCCAGCCAUGCCGCGUGGGUGAUGAAGGCCCUAGGGUUGUAAAGCCCUUUCAGCGGGGAAGAUAAUGACGGUACCCGCAGAAGAAGCCCCGGCUAACUUCGUGCCAGCAGCCGCCGUAA
rnacentral:rRNA from 1 species